AGGUCAUAGCAAGUUUAUGCACCGGUUCCCGUAAGAUAACCUAUGUUAAGCAAAGUCGAGCCUGGUCAGUAACUAGAUGGGUAGCCGCUUUGGAAUUCCAGGUGCUGUAAA